rnacentral:rRNA from 1 species
AAAUUGAAGAGUUUGAUCAUGGCUCAGAUUGAACGCUGGCGGCAGGCCUAACACAUGCAAGUCGAACGGUAACAGAAAGCAGCUUGCUGCUUUGCUGACGAGUGGCGGACGGGUGAGUAAUGUCUGGGAAACUGCCUGAUGGAGGGGGAUAACUACUGGAAACGGUGGCUAAUACCGCAUAACGUCGCAAGACCAAAGAGGGGGACCUUCGGGCCUCUUGCCAUCAGAUGUGCCCAGAUGGGAUUAGCUUGUUGGUGAGGUAACGGCUCACCAAGGCGACGAUCCCUAGCUGGUCUGAGAGGAUGACCAGCCACACUGGAACUGAGACACGGUCCAGACUCCUACGGGAGGCAGCAGUGGGGAAUAUUGCACAAUGGGCGCAAGCCUGAUGCAGCCAUGCCGCGUGUAUGAAGAAGGCCUUCGGGUUGUAAAGUACUUUCAGCGGGGAGGAAGGUGUUGUAGUUAAUAACCGCAGCAAUUGACGUUACCCGCAGAAGAAGCACCGGCUAACUCCGUGCCAGCAGCCGCGGUAAUACGGAGGGUGCAAG